rnacentral:rRNA from 1 species
CACCGCGGUUAUACGAGCGACCCAAGUUGAUGAAAAACGGCGUAAAGCGUGUUUAAGAAAAUUAAAAUAAAUAGAGCCGAAGAACCUCAAGUCAGUUAUACGCCCUCGAGACCCCGAAGCACAACUACGAAAGUGGCUCUACCUAAUUUCUGAUUCCACGAAAGCCGUAGAA